rnacentral:tRNA from 1 species
GGAAGCGAACGAGGGCUGGUGUCCUCCGCGGACUUCAAAUCCGUCGGGCCCAGAUCCAAGAGAUCGGGGCGGUGGGUUCGAUUCCCACCCGCUUCCGCCA